CUCUCCUGGUGUCUCCAUUCCCAUCUGUGAGAAUGAUGGAUGGAUGGGGGUGAGGGGUGCAGGGGG
rnacentral:miRNA from 1 species